GUCCCUGUAGCGUGAUGGAUAGCGCCUCGGACUUUUAAUCCAAAGGCCGUGGGUUCUAAUACCACCUGGGAUG